UAGGGAAUCUUCGGCAAUGGGGGGAACCCUGACCGAGCAACGCCGCGUGAGUGAAGAAGGUUUUCGGAUCGUAAAGCUCUGUUGUUAAGGAAGAACGAGUGUGAGAAUGGAAAGUUCAUACUGUGACGGUACUUAACCAGAAAGGGACGGCUAACUACGUGCCAGCAGCCGCGGUAAUACGUAGGUCCCGAGCGUUGUCCGGAUUUAUUGGGCGUAAAGCGAGCGCAGGCGGUUAGAAAAGUCUGAAGUGAAAGGCAGUGGCUCAACCAUUGUAGGCUUUGGAAACCGUUUAACUUGGGUGCAGAAGGGGAGAGUGGAAUUCCAUGUGUAGCGGUGAAAUGCGUAGAUAUAUGGAGGAACACCGGUGGCGAAAGCGGCUCUCUGGUCUGUAACUGACGCUGAGGCUCGAAAGCGUGGGGAGCGAACAGG
rnacentral:rRNA from 1 species